AUCAAACAAUUAGAGCUAUACACUGCAGUCAAAUUUAUACGACAUGGAUACAACAACAAAAGGACCAAUUCCUUGCGCGAAAUCAAAUCAAUGGAAAAUCACUAAAAUAAAUAAAUGUACAGUAAGGAAGAAUCUAAUCCAAAGAGAAACGGCUGCUAAUCCAAGGGGAACCAGGUUGAUAUUGAAUUAGUAUGAUGUUGCAGGCUCGUCGGCUGCCUAGGCGGCCGAAUCUCCGGCCGUCGGUGGAACAAUUUCGAGCGAAUGAAAUAGGCUGACGAAACUGAGCGCGCAAGAAUAGAAAAGAAGACUUGUAUCCGGCCAUUGCCGCAUUGGUGAUGGUGCAGGAAUCGAUGAC
rnacentral:lncRNA from 1 species